GAACGCUGGCGGCGUGCCUAAUACAUGCAAGUCGAGCGAACAGACGAGGAGCUUGCUCCUCUGACGUUAGCGGCGGACGGGUGAGUAACACGUGGAUAACCUACCUAUAAGACUGGGAUAACUUCGGGAAACCGGAGCUAAUACCGGAUAAUAUAUUGAACCGCAUGGUUCAAUAGUGAAAGACGGUUUUGCUGUCACUUAUAGAUGGAUCCGCGCCGCAUUAGCUAGUUGGUAAGGUAACGGCUUACCAAGGCAACGAUGCGUAGCCGACCUGAGAGGGUGAUCGGCCACACUGGAACUGAGACACGGUCCAGACUCCUACGGGAGGCAGCAGUAGGGAAUCUUCCGCAAUGGGCGAAAGCCUGACGGAGCAACGCCGCGUGAGUGAUGAAGGUCUUCGGAUCGUAAAACUCUGUUAUUAGGGAAGAACAAAUGUGUAAGUAACUAUGCACGUCUUGGCGGUACCUAAUCAGAAAGCCACGGCUAACUACGUG
rnacentral:rRNA from 1 species